GUACCUUCACUUCUUCGAAGUGGAGGAUAUAAUCAGUUCUGUUGCUUUUGUCCAGGAGAUGGUUCGACCCACUAUAUUGAGCGGUUCAGAGGUAAGUUAGGUUGAUUGGAUGUUCUCACUCUCCCUACAACAUUAUGUGUAGUGAGGUAAGUUAGGUAAUUUAUUACCAAAGACACCAUCAGAUGUCUGCUUUACUUAACAGUUUGUGGAUUUUCAGUUUACACUGAGCUCUAUCAAUAAUUGGUUUUGAUAUUUCUUAACUCUAAAUUCUUAAAAGCACUCUACAUUUAGUUACAUUUGUAGGAACAUUGACAGAAUCGUACUCCAUGUGCUUGCUUAAACAUAGGUUUGGUGGUUGAGAAAGCUGACUCCGAAGUUUAUAAAGUAGCAGGAACAAAUUAAGGAUAUAAAGUUCUAGCAGUGCAACCUCAAACUAUUGUACUAUGGAGAUCAUCGAUAGGUGCUGAUUCUUUCCUAGAGGAAACAACGUCGACCAAACUUUCACUAUGCCUAGCUAGGUGUUGUAGAUCCAUGAACUUGCCUUACAGAUGUAACAGCUAUGCUCAGUUCAACUUGGAUGAGGUGAAUGAAGUCUAUACUUGAUGUACCAUCUGAAUUCUUUUAGGAAAGAUGUAAGAUCAUAUUUUAAUGAAAUGGUGAGUUUCUUCGGCGACCACUACUAUGGCAUCAAAAAAAAUUCUCAAUGUAUUCGCACCUGAACACUUAACAGAUAAGUUCCGUACAAGUUUUGUCAAUCGAAUCCUAUGUAAGUUUAGAAUAAUGGUUUUGAUUUGUGGUUUGAUCAAGUUUAGAUGUGGUUUGAUCUGAUUUGAAUGUAUAACUUACUAUUGCCAUUAUGUGUACCUGUAAAUCUUUAGACGUCAGAUGUAUGGCUAUUUGGGAACAACUUACCA